UAAAUCUCUAUGCGGCUACAACAAGUUGACAGUCGUUGUGAUUGGGUGUUAUAACAUGGAUUCAGUAAAUCAAGGGAGAGACAAUGCUACCGAUCCUGCCGCCGCUGUUCGAAAUUCCAACUGCUAAGUUACGUGCACACGUUGGGAAGAGCAGAGUCGUGUAAACAUACACGUAAAACACGUUGAGGAAACGGUCGCCGCUCAAGCUGUUCGUAUUCAAAGCUAUUGCAUAGUACAAAACGUUCACCACAAACCUGAA